GAUGAAGAACGUAGCGAAAUGCGAUAAGUAAUGUGAAUUGCAGAAUUCAGUGAAUCAUCGAAUCUUUGAACGCACAUUGCGCCCCUUGGUAUCCCGAGGGGCAUGCCUGUUCGAGCGUCAUUUCACCACUCAAGCCUGGCUUGGUGUUGGGCGACGUCCUCUUUGGGGACGCGCCUCGAAACGCUCGGCGGCGUGGCACCGGCUUUAAGCGUAGCAGAAUCUUUCGCUUUGGAAGUCGGGGCCCCGUCUGCCGGAAGACCUGCUCGCAAGGUUGACCUCGGAUCAGGCAGGGAUACCCGCUGAACUUAAGCAUAUCAAUAAGCGGGGA
rnacentral:misc_RNA from 1 species